rnacentral:rRNA from 1 species
UAAACAUAGACAGUACACAUACUUAACUGUCCGCCCGGGGACUACGAGCAUCAGCUUAAAACCCAAAGGACUUGGCGGUGCUUUAAACCCCCCUAGAGGAGCCUGUUCUAGAACCGAUAAUCCCCGUUCAACCUCACCCUUCCUUGUUCUUUCCGCCUAUAUACCGCCGUCGUCAGUUUACCCUGUGAAGGUAAAACAGUAAGCACAAUCGGCACAGCCCAAAACGCCAGGUCGAGGUGUAGCGUAUGGAAGGGGAAGAAAUGGGCUACAUUCCUUAAUACUAAGGCAUACGAAUGAUAUGUUGAAACACAUAACUGAAGGAGGAUUUAGCAGUAAGCAGGAAGUAGAGUGUCCCGCUGAAAUCGGC